CCUGGGACCACCUUCCUGUACCCAGCUCCUCCUAUCUAUCAGAAUCCACCUUCAAGAGGAACCUCAAACUUAGACAAAAUCCAAGGAUCAACACCCAGGCUACCAGGCCCCAUGCAGCGUGUCCACCACCAACUUUUCUGACAUCAUCUGGUACAUUCUCUCUGCAGUUCAGCACACUCCAGCUUUACUUGUCUUUGCUGAUGCGACUUGACACAAGAUGAACAGAACCUGGAUCAGUGUCGGUCUGAGGAGCAAGGGAUCAUCAGAGUGCUCUUGAUAAGAAUUCUGUGCUACUGGACCCCUGAGAGGCUUGGCAUGCUGCUCAAGAGUAUAAGAAGAGACUUUCUACUGAGGCAAAUGCUGAAGAAAAGAGGCAUCUAUGAUACAAAUUAUGGCUUUAAACAUUAUUUAAACCUAUAAAAUCAUCUGUAGUAUUUGGUUUCUGAUCCCAAGUGACCUAAACCACAAAGGCUGUAAGUGUCACUGAAAAUUCAUUUUAAGUUUUCCCAGUUAACAAAAAUAAAAAAUAAAUCUGUUCUCUCCUAAUAUUCUGCUAAUAGUCAUGUCUGUCCCAAAGUAAGAUUCAAUUGUUACUAAAUAAAUAAAGCCAGAGAAACAGUAGGUACUAUUAUUUGUCUUGCAAAUAAUAUAAACUUAUCACUUUCUGCCAAUUACAAGCUUAAUAGGGGAUCGCUAGCAGGGAAACUUGGAAAGUAAAAGCACAAAAAAUAUUUUUUUAAUCACCUGUAAUUCAUCUCCCCCCAAAAUUACCACCACUAAAAUAUGGAUUUCUGUCUUGCUAGUAUAUGUUUCUGUAAAUAAUUAUAUAUUAAGCAAAAAUAAGAACAUCUUGUGAUACUGUUAUGUAACUGCUUUUUUCCACUUAGAUCAUGUCCCCAUGUUAAUAAAGACUCACAUAAAACAUGGUUUUAGAUAAGGUAUCUAUCAUGAAAUUUAGUGGGGUUUUUUUUGUUUUUGUGUUUUUACAGGGUGAUGGUAUGUCCCCUAGGGGCCAUGUAGAAAAUCUGGGGGCUAUUUGUGAUUAUUACAGAAGCUGGAGUUGUCUACUGGCAUUCUGUGGGCUAGAGCCAAAGGUGUCAGAGUCCCUGACAUGAAUGAGGCAUCCCACACAACAAAGAAUUUUUCCAUCCCCCACAUGACUUCCAAAUGUCCUCUGGGAAUGCUAGAGCCAGAAGCACUUUGCCCUUAGCACAAUGUGAACUAGAACACCAUGAAGGCUAGUGGAUGAAACAGAAAUAUCUAGUAAAUACACAAGGAAGGGGAAGAGAUUAAACUGGAUUGUCUCCAACAUUCCACCCAGAGCCACCAUCCUAUGAUUCCAACACAUACAGAAAUCCAGCCACAUGACUUUUAUCUAGUUCUCUCAAAGUUACUAGUUGUGUAUUAUAUUCCUAUCUUCUUCCAUGAUCGGACAACUGAAAAUUGUAUAUCUCUUUUUUUCUUUUAACAAGGUCUCACUCAGUCAUCCAGGCUGCAGUGCAGUGGCAUGAUCUCAGCUCACUGCAACCUCUGCCUCCCAGGUUCAAGAGAUUCUCAUGUCUCAGCCUCCCAAGCAGCUGGGAUUACAGGUGUGUGCCACCGUGCCCAGCUAAUUUUUGUAUUUUAUUUUUAGUACAGAUGGGGUUUCACCAUGUUGGCCAGGCUGGUCUCAAACUCCUGGCCUCAAGUGAUCUGCCCGCCUCAGGCUCCCAAAGUGCUGAGAUUACAGGCAUGAACUGUAAUCUCAGUGUGCCUGGCUAAAAAUUUAUAUCUUAAGUUUCAUUACAGUUAGCUACUCCAAAUCCUAUGCCUAGACAACUUUGACUUUUAAGCACAAACCAAGAAAACUAUAAUGGAUGCACAUAAAGAUAUUGUUUUUAAGAUGUUUACUACAGCAAUAAAUACAAAUAUAAAUCCUAUAAGUAACUGCAAUAUCAAAUACUUUAGAUUUCAUUACAUAAAUGAUGGUAUAUCCACAAAAGGAAAUAGAGUCAUGUAUCCCUUAGUGACGGGGAUGUAUUUUGAGAAAUGCAUCCUUAGGCUAUUUCGUUGUUGUGCAAACACCACAGAGUGUACUUACAGAAACCUAGAUGGUAUAGCCCACUACACACCUAGGCUAUAUGGUAUAGUCUAAUGUUUCUAGGCUGCAAACCUCUACAGCAUGUUACUGUACUGAAUACUGUAGACAACUGUAAUACAGUGGUAUUUGCAUAUCUAAACAUACAAAGGUACAGCAAAAAUAUGGUAUUUUAAUCUUAUAGGACCACCAUCAUACAUGUCCGUUGUUAACUGAAAUGUUAUUAUGUGGUACAUGACUGUAUUUUACAGCCAUUACGUAUGUUAUAGUGUAUUUUAUGAUAUGGAAAAGAGAAUAUUAAGCAGGACAAACAAGUUACAUAGCAAUGUAAUAUAAUUAUGUAUAACACAAUGUAAUAUACAGCAAUGUAUAAUAUAAUGUAACAUAAAGCAAUGUAAUUAUGUAUAAUAUAUUCUUAGAGACAAAUUUAUAAAUAUGUGUAUGUAUGUAUACAUCUAUCUAUCUAAUCCCAAAAAUGUUUUAACCUAGCAUUAAUAAUAUAAGAAAAAAUACAUAUGGAGGGUUGAGUAGGAGCUCUGUGUGUAUGUGUAUGUCACUAUACAUAAUGUGUGUGUGUGUGUGUGUGUGUGUGUGUAGUAUUUAAUGUAAAUCUUGAAAAGGAAUACCUCAUUGACAAAUAACUAUAACAGAAAUAUGGGAGUAGCCACGACUUCAUUGGGAAGCUGAAGAGUAAGUUAAAGAUUAGCCCCAUUCUAGUCGCCUCAGGCACACUGAACACUUAACCAGCUGGUCAAAGUUCUAAAUUAGGUUUAAAUUUAUACAUUCUCUGUCUCCUAUAAUCAUUAUUGAAAUUUCUCUUAAACCUAUUUUAUGUUAAGCCAAGAAACUUUCCAAGAUGUUCAGAUGUUAAGGACAAAGUUUCCUGUUUGGUCUCCUAGAAAUAUCAUUUCUAACAAAGGGCUAUAAUGAUACCAAAGCUUGCAAAACAUGUUUCUUAUAGAAAUUGUAUGUUAGAAUAUUUGCUAUGGAAAAUUAAAUUUGUUCAAUUUAGC